rnacentral:rRNA from 1 species
GACAGAGGGUGCGAACGUUGUUCGGAAUUACUGGGCGUAAAGCGCGUGUAGGCGGCAACGCAAGUCGGGCGUGAAAUCCCACGGCUCAACCGUGGAAGUGCACUCGAAACUGCGUAGCUAGAGUCCUGGAGAGGAAGGUGGAAUGCUUGGUGUAGAGGUGAAAUUCGUAGAUAUCAAGCGGAACACCGGUGGCGAAGGCGGCCUUCUGGACAGUGACUGACGCUGAGGCACGAAAGCUAGGGGAGCAAACAGG